rnacentral:rRNA from 1 species
UACGGAGGGUGCAAGCGUUAUCCGGAUUCACUGGGUUUAAAGGGUGCGUAGGUGGACUGGUAAGUCCGUGGUGAAAUCCCCAAGCUUAACUUGGGAACUGCCGUGGAUACUAUUAGUCUUGAAUACUGUGGAGGUAAGCGGAAUAUGUCAUGUAGCGGUGAAAUGCUUAGAUAUGACAUAGAACACCGAUAGCGAAGGCAGCUUGCUACACAGUCAUUGACACUGAGGCACGAAAGCGUGGGGAGCAAACAGG